AUUGAACGCUGGCGGCAGGCUUAACACAUGCAAGUCGAGCGAGCGGCGGACGGGUGAGUAAUGUCUGGGAAACUGCCUGAUGGAGGGGGAUAAAUACUGGAAACGGUAGCUAAUACCGCAUACCCUCAGAUGUGCCCAGAUGGGAUUAGCUAGUAGGUGGGGUAAUGGCUCACCUGGGCGACGAUCCCUAGCUGGUCUGAGAGGAUGACCGGCCACACGGGAACGGAGAACGGGUCCAGACUCCUACGGGAGGCAGCAGUGGGGAAUAUUGCACAAUGGGGGCAAUCCGGAUGCAGCAAUGCCGCGUGUGUGAAGAAGGCCUUCGGGUUGUAAAGCACGUUCAGCGAGGAGGCGUUACUCGAAGAAGAAGCACCGGCUAACUCCGUGCCAGCCGCCGCGGUAAUAC
rnacentral:rRNA from 1 species